AGGGCGGGACACGUGGUAUCCUGUCUGAAUAUGGGGGGACCAUCCUCCAAGGCUAAAUACUCCUGACUGACCGAUAGUGAACCAGUACCGUGAGGGAAAGGCGAAAAGAACCCCGGCGAGGGGAGUGAAAAAGAACCUGAAACCGUGUACGUACAAGCAGUGGGAGCACCCUUUGGGGUGUGACUGCGUACCUUUUGUAUAAUGGGUCAGCGACUUAUAUUCUGUAGCAAGGUUAACCGAAUAGGGGAGCCGGAGGGAAACCGAGUCUUAAUUGGGCGUUAAGUUGCAGGGUAUAGACCCGAAACCCGGUGAUCUAGCCAUGGGCAGGUUGAAGGUUGGGUAACACUAACUGGAGGACCGAACCGACUAAUGUUGAAAAAUUAGCGGAUGACCUGUGGCUGGGGGUGAAAGGCCAAUCAAACCGGGAGAUAGCUGGUUCUCCCCGAAAGCUAUUUAGGUAGCGCCUCGUGAAUUCAUCUCCGGGGGUAGAGCACUGUUUCGGCUAGGGGGCCAUCCCGGCUUACCAACCCGAUGCAAACUGCGAAUACCGGAGAAUGUUAUCACGGGAGACACACGGCGGGUGCUAACGUCCGUCGUGAAGAGGGAAACAACCCAGACCGCCAGCUAAGGUCCCAAAGUCAUGGUUAAGUGGGAAACGAUGUGGGAAGGCCCAGACAGCCAGGAUGUUGGCUUAGAAGCAGCCAUCAUUUAAAGAAAGCGUAAUAGCUCACUGGUCGAGUCGGCCUGCGCGGAAGAUGUAACGGGGCUAAACCAUGCACCGAAGCUGCGGCAGCGACGCUGAUGCGUUGUUGGGUAGGGGAGCGUUCUGUAAGCCUGUGAAGGUGGCCUGUGAGGGUUGCUGGAGGUAUCAGAAGUGCGAAUGCUGACAUAAGUAACGAUAAAGCGGGUGAAAAGCCCGCUCGCCGGAAGACCAAGGGUUCCUGUCCAACGUUAAUCGGGGCAGGGUGAGUCGACCCCUAAGGCGAGGCCGAAAGGCGUAGUCGAUGGGAAACGGGUUAAUAUUCCCGUACUUGGUGUUACUGCGAAGGGGGGACGGAGAAGGCUAUGUUGGCCGGGCGACGGUU
rnacentral:rRNA from 1 species